rnacentral:lncRNA from 1 species
AGUUGCCUAAAAUAAGACUUUUUUGACUAUUCUAAAUUGACUCCUCUUGACCAGCACUGCUUCAUCCAAGCUGCUGACCUCCUCAUGGCCGACUUCAAAGUGCUCAGUAGUCAGGACAUCAUGUGGGCCCUGCACGAGCUCAAAGGACACUAUGCAAUCACCCGAAAGGCCUUUUCUGAUGCCAUUAAAAAAUGGCAGGAGCUAUCACCAGAAACCAGUGGAAAAAGGAAAAAGAGAAAAGAAAUGAACCAGUAUUCUUAAAUUGAUUUCAAGUUUGAACAAGGUAAUGCAAACUAUGUUGGUGGCAGUGUGUAGCUGCAACACCGUACCUUCUUCACAGUCAGUGAAGGAAGCUGUGCUACAGGUGUCUGCUGAGCAUCUGGACAGGAACUAUUUUCUCAGCACGUCAAAAUUUUUAGAAAGUGGCUGCCCUUGUUGGCUUCCUUCUUCCUACUUAAGAUAAACUGUGAGAGG